UCUACCCGUCUCAGUCUCCUAAAGUGCUGCGAUUACAAGCUUGAGCCACUGCGCCCGGCCCUUCCUUUUUUUCUAGCAAAUGAAUUUAAUGUUACAUAUUUUCCUCUAAGUGCUGUUUUCACUGCAUUCCACACAUUUGGUAAGUUGUAUUUUCAUUUUCAUUAAGUUAAAAAUACUUUUUAAUUUUUCUUGAGACUUUUUAAAUUCUUUUGUAAAAUAGAAGUACAUUGCUUAAUCUCCAUAUAUUUAAGGAUUUUUUUCAGCUUCUGGUAGAUUUUUGUUUUUGACUUCUAGUUUAAUUCCACUGUGCUCUGAGAAUAUAUUUUGUAUAAUUUCUAUUCUUUUACAUUUGUUAACAUAUGCAUUAUGGCCUUGAAUAUGGUAUAUGUGUUGAAUGUUCCAUGUGAUCUUGAGAAAAAUAUGUAUUCUGCUGUUGUUGGUUGAAGUACUCUAUAGAUGUCAGUUAGAUCCAGAGAUAAAUAUUGCUGUUCCUUACUAUAUCCUGACUGAUUUUAUGCCCAGUAGAUCUACCAAUUACUGAUAGAGGAGUGUUGAAGUCUCCAACCAUUAAUGUAGUAAAGAAUUUUAUAUAGCUUAUAUUUUCCUUGCUGUUCUAUCAGUUUUUACUUCCUGUGUUUUGAUCCUCUGUUGUUAGGUGCAUGCAUCUUAAGUAUUAUGUAAACCAAAAAUAAAAUUCGAAGGCCCCCCACCUUCCUGCAACCAUCUGAAUGGGCUCCCUCCUUGGCCAGGGCACUCUAAAAUUUACCUCCUACUUGAAAUGAAAGACAGGAGCCCUCAGGACCAGAACCUAUGAUGUACUCUCAGCAGUAUGGGAAGUAUGUACUGAAAGUUCCUCUAAGUGUGUGAGAGGAUGAAGAGCAUAAACCACUGCAGAAUACUUUCCCCUUUGGCAGACAAAAGACUUGACUAUAAUUGUAGUUUAGGAAAAAAAUGUCUCAGCAUUUGGCAUUUCCUGUCUCUCCAGGGAGCUGAACUUAGGAUAGUGGCCUUUGUUGUGUCCAGGAAGGGCUGAUUUAAUGCAUGUGGUGGCCAGUGUCUGCGAUGGAUGGGUCUUCUUCAUUGUUGAACCCUCUCACUUCUGAUUCCUCCUUCUCUUCUUCCUCCACUCUUUCAUGAGCAUUUCUCCGACCGAUCUCAGGAUGUCUGGUUAUUAGUGUGUUUAGGGGAGUGAGCUAGAAGAAGAGUCAGUAAUCAGACAAGCAUGCUGCAACCCUCCACUCAGGGUGAUGGACUGGAGGUACUGGGUCCACACAGAUGGCUGCUGCAGCCAACAUGCCAGAGUCUCCAACGUGCCCCAGCCACACUGCCACUUCUCCUGGCCUUCAUCAGUGAAAACCCAGCACAAACAAAGCAGUUCCAGGGUGGCAGCUCAGUGACAUUCAUUUCCACGCUUUCGUUGAAACCAGUGGACGAAACAGGUAUCACCCAUCAACCCCUGUCAUCUGUUAAGAGUGGCUGCUGGAGGCAUCACCCUCUGAUUCCAGGACUUCAGCCCUAACUGGUGCACUCCUCGUUUUGGGGCAUCCUCUGGUUGAGUGGCAGGCGCUGCAGGCAGGAGCCGUGGUGUGUGUGUGAACUGUCUACAGAGGCGGCAGGUGACCCAGCGCUGUCAGCUGCAGCAUCUGGCAAGGCGGACAGGUAAAGCAGUAAACCAGCAGGUGAGUGAAUGGUUGCAAUUGUAGCGGGUGCCUUGGAGGGAGCUGACUGGGAGUUGAGCACAGAAGGAGGAGCAAAGACCUCCUUCAAAUAGGGUCAUGACUCGUGCCUGCCUCCUUGUAGUAGGUGGGCACCCAGCAAGCAGAGGCCGGAACCCUCAGUCACGUGGCCCUGGGAGAGCUGUUCUGACCUUUGCCUAGAGCCUCGGUGCUAGCUGUGAGCUAGGAUGGUGAUUGCGUUCGCUUCUGAUAUGAGCUCGUUAAAAGCGCAUCAUCAGUGGCCGGAUGGAACUUAACAAGAAGAAGCUAAGGAAGAGAAGAGGAGAGAGAGGAGAGGAGAGAGACAGUGAAGAGGCUGGAAAAGGAAGAAGAGAAAUAUGUUUUUUGGAAUCAAAGUGUUACUUGGAUUCUUACCCAGGAUUUUCCUAUUGUCUCAGGACCUAAAGGGAAAAGACCAGCCAUGGUGUAUGUGAGCCUCUGGGAAAUCUGCCUCAAGCCCAUAAUGACAUGCAUCUACAGCAGUUGGAACAGCUUAAGAGUCAGACCUCUCUAGAUCCCAAGCGCUGCAACAUGAAUAACAAAACCAAGGUUAAGCCACAGAUCACGCCCCGUGGAGAUUUCGCUGCUUCCAGCCUGACCAUCAGGAUUCGGGUCCUGACCGCUCCCCUGGCUGUUGGGCUGGUCCCAGCUCUUGGGCCUUGGUUUUCUCACCCACAGAAUGGGGACAAUACAGGACCUCCCUCAUCAGAGCUAUCACAAGUGCUAAGUGAACGGGUUCUUGUGAAGCCCUGCAGUGCCUGGCACAGACCAAGGGCCCCACCGGUAGUGGCUGUGAGUUUUCCCACGAAUGUAUUUUUUGAUAUGUAACAUUUUAAAAUAAAAUUUUCUCUUUUCUUUUU